rnacentral:rRNA from 1 species
CCUACGGGUGGCAGCAGUGAGGAAUAUUGGUCAAUGGGCGGAAGCCUGAACCAGCCAAGUCGCGUGAGGGAGUAAGGCCCUACGGGUCGUAAACCUCUUUUGCCGGGGAGCAGUGCCCAGCUCGUGUGCUGGGAGGGAGUGUACCCGGAGAAAAAGCAUCGGCUAACUCCGUGCCAGCAGCCGCGGUAAUACGGAGGAUGCGAGCGUUAUCCGGAUUUCUUGGGUUUAAAGGGUGCGUAGGCGGGCCUUCAGGCCGGCGGUAAAAUUGCGGGGCUCAACCCCGGCGAGCCGUUGGAACCGGUGGCCUUGAGUACCGGAGAAGUAUGCGGAAUGCGUGGUGUAGCGGUGAAAUGCAUAGAUAUCACGCAGAACCCCGAUUGCGAAGGCAGCGUACCGGCGGGUCACUGACGCUGAGGCACGAAAGCGUGGGGAUCGAACAGGAUUAGAUACCCCUGUAGUC